UCACCCCUGCCGGGUUCUAACUACGUGACCUGCCCUGUUAAAACCCACAUUUCUUAAACGGGACGCCCCACUCGCGCGGUGGUUCGCAGACCUCCCGGCCCUCUUCGGAGGAUCCUGGAUGUUGGGAGCGGUAAAACCAAGCGGAGGCGACCCACCUGCAUUCUUGUGCAGGUUUUUAAUGGGGCGGCACGGCCACGGCGGGGGUUCU
rnacentral:other from 1 species